rnacentral:rRNA from 1 species
GCAGGUGCGGGUGCUUACCAUGCAGUCGAACGAUGAAGCUGGAGCUUGCUCCGGUGGAUUAGUGGCGAACGGGUGAGUAACACGUGAGUAAUCUGCCCUUGACUCUGGGAUAACUGCGGGAAACUGUAGCUAAUACCGGAUACGACACCUUCGGGCAUCCGAUGGGUGUGGAAAGAAUUUCGGUCAAGGAUGAACUCGCGGCCUAUCAGCUAGUUGGUGAGGUAAUGGCUCACCAAGGCGACGACGGGUAGCCGGCCUGAGAGGGUGACCGGCCACACUGGGACUGAGACACGGCCCAGACUCCUACGGGAGGCAGCAGUGGGGAAUAUUGCACAAUGGGCGCAAGCCUGAUGCAGCAACGCCGCGUGAGGGAUGAAGGCCUUCGGGUUGUAAACCUCUUUUAGUUGGGAAGAAGCGAAAGUGACGGUACCUGCAGAAGAAGCACCGGCUAACUACGUGCCAGCAGCCGCGGUAAUACGUAGGGUGCAAGCGUUGUCCGGAAUUAUUGGGCGUAAAGAGCUCGUAGGCGGUUUGUCGCGUCUGCUGUGAAAAUCCAAGGCUCAACCUUGGACCUGCAGUGGGUACGGGCAAACUAGAGUGCGGUAGGGGAGAAGGGAAUUCCUGGUGUAGCGGUGGAAUGCGCAGAUAUCAGGAGGAACACCGAUGGCGAAGGCACUUCUCUGGGCCGUAACUGACGCUGAGGAGCGAAAGCGUGGGGAGCGAACAGGAUUAGAUACCCUGGUAGUCCACGCCGUAAACGGUGGGUGCUAGUUGUGGGUCACAUUCCACGUGAUCCGUGACGCAGCUAACGCAUUAAGCACCCCGCCUGGGGAGUACGGUCGCAAGACUAAAACUCAAAGGAAUUGACGG